ACGAACGCUGGCAGCGUGCUUAACACAUGCAAGUCGCACGGAAAGGCCCUGCUUUUGUGGGGUGCUCGAGUGGCGAACGGGUGAGUAACACGUGAGUAACCUGCCCUUGACUUUGGGAUAACUUCAGGAAACUGGGGCUAAUACCGGAUAGGAGCUCCUGCUGCAUGGUGGGGGUUGAAAAGUUUCGGCGGUUGGGGAUGGACUCGCGGCUUAUCAGCUUGUUGGUGGGGUAGUGGCUUACCAAGGCUUUGACGGGUAGCCGGCCUGAGAGGGUGACCGGCCACAUUGGGACUGAGAUACGGCCCAGACUCCUACGGGAGGCAGCAGUGGGGAAUAUUGCACAAUGGGCGGAAGCCUGAUGCAGCAACGCCGCGUGCGGGAUGACGGCCUUCGGGUUGUAAACCGCUUUCGCCUGUGACGAAGCGUGAGUGACGGUAAUGGGUAAAGAAGCACCGGCUAACUACGUG
rnacentral:rRNA from 1 species